AUCUACUUUCUUUCUGGAUUCAACCAUUAAAACGUGCAUUAGGCAGCUUGUGUAGCAGUUGCAACUUGGUGAGCAUGUUAUGAUCAUUUUCCUUUGUGUGAGGCCCAAGCAAACACUUUUUGCAGAGUCCCUCUAUAUCACAAUUAGUGUAUUAACCUGAAC